rnacentral:piRNA from 1 species
CUGAAAGAGAUGGUGUCAU